rnacentral:rRNA from 1 species
AUUGAACGCUGGCGGCAGGCCUAACACAUGCAAGUCGAGCGAGCGGCGGACGGGUGAGUAAUGUAUGGGGACUGCCCGAUAGAGGGGGAGAACUAUUGGAAACGGUAGCUAAAACCGCAUACUAUCGGAUAACCCAUAUGGGAUUAGCUCGUAGGUGGGGUAAUGGCUCACCUAGGCGACGAUCCCUCGCUGGGCUGAGAGGAUGAUCAGCCACACUGGAACUGAGACACGGCCCAGACUCCUACGGAGGCAGCAGUGGGGAAUAUUGCACAAUGGGCGCAAGCCUGAUGCAGCCAUGCCGCGUGUAUGAAGAAGGCCCUAGGGUUGUAAAGUAUUUUCAGUCGGGAGGCGUUACCGGCAGAAGAAGCACCGGCUAACUCCGUGCCAGCAGCCGCGGUAAUUC